UUAAGCAGCCAUAUCACCCUGCAACUCACAACUGGCAACCCACUGAAGCUAAGCAGGUGUGAGCCUGGGCAGUACCUGGAUGGGGGACCUCUUGGGAAAAACUAAGGUUGCUGCUGGAA
ensembl:rRNA 5S_rRNA 5S ribosomal RNA